CUUCUCUCAAAGACCAUAUUAUGCAUGCCUAAGUUCAUGUCUUUAUAGGCAUGUCAUAUCAUGUUUAUUGGACCGUAAUCAUUAAACCGAUGACUAUAAUAACUCUAGAGCCACGAAGCUAUGGCCCCACUCCUUGGAGAAUAUGUGCGCUUAUUAGAAAAGAAGCCAUGCAUUCCUCCGAGAGUAGAUGGACUGCAGCAUUUCUGAUGACUCUAGGUAAUUGUUACAGAUCACACUCGGCUUUGCGUCGUCGACGGGUCCUUCAAAUGUCUGCCCUAUCAAUUUUCGAGAGUAGGUGACUUGUCUACUAUGGCGAUAGCGAGUAUCGGGGAAUAAGGGUUCAAUCCCGGAGUGGGAGUCUGAGAAACGGUUACGACUUCCAAGGGAGACAGUACCCGUUCCCAGUACGGGGAGGUGGUGACGAAAAACAUCGAUGCGGGACUCAUUAAAGAGACCUCGUAGUUGGAAUGAGUAAACUUUAAAUCCCUCUCCGAAGAUCAAUUGGAGGGUAGUAACUUCAACUUCAAUUUCCAAUAUUAGAGUUACUACAGUUAAAAAGCUCGUAGUUGGAUCUCGGUAGCAUUGUUGUCUGCUUGGCUGUCAUGCUCGGCGGCGUGCAUCAUAUCAUGUGUGCUUGUAUUACCCACGUCCAUAAAAGGAAAACGUAUGGGCCUCUCGGUGGGUGCACAUUAAACCGGAGUGCACUGAGUUGGCGUGGCGAUGGGGUCUCCUUUGAGCCAUGUCUGUGAUUUAACAGAGCCAAGUCGGCUCGUUUGCAUGCCAAUAAAUGCCUUUAAAAAUGUUUUCAUAGGCGGAUUGCAGGUUUUCUUUAAACAAAUUUGCGUGCUUGAAUCAGGUCAAUGUCCUCUGAAAAGUUCUACAUGGAAUAAUGGAAUAGUAUGUCUGUUCUAUUUCGCGUUAGUUUUCGAAUCCGAAGUAAUUAUGAAAAGAAACAGGCGGGCACGUUCAUUUGGCUGCACUAGAGGUGAAAUUAAUGAACCAUUGACAAAUAAACUAAAGCGGAAGCAUUCGUCAAGAAUGCUUUCAUUGGUCAUGAGCAAAGAUCAUAGGCUCGAA
rnacentral:ncRNA from 1 species